UAAGGAAUAUUGGUCAAUGGACGAAAGUCUGAACCAGCCAUGCCGCGUGGAGGAUGAAGGCCCUCUGGGUUGUAAACUUCUUUUAGGGGACGAAAAAGGGUCUUUCUAGAUCAACUGACGGUACCCUAGGAAUAAGCACCGGCUAACUCCGUGCCAGCAGCCGCGGUAAUACGGAGGGUGCAAGCGUUAUCCGGAUUCACUGGGUGUAAAGGGUGCGUAGGUGGGUUAGUAAGUCAGUGGUGAAAUCUUCGAGCUUAACUCCGAAACUGCCAUUGAUACUAGUAGUCUUGAAUAUUGUGGAGGUUAGCGGAAUAUGUCAUGUAGCGGUGAAAUGCUUAGAUAUGACAUAGAACACCAAUUGCGGAGGCAGCUGGCUACACAUAUAUUGACACUGAGGCACGAAAGCGUGGGGAUCAAACA
rnacentral:rRNA from 1 species